CUCCUCGCGCAGGCGGCGGAGCUGCCGUCCACUCGCUGGCGGCCCUUGUGGCCUCAGCUCUUGGCUGGGCCUGAAAAGGAAACCUUCUCCGGAGGUGUGUCUGCAUGAACCUCGCGGUCGGAAGGAGGGUGCCUUGAACUCACGGCGAUCCUCGUACCUACGCCUCCCGAGUGCUGGGAUUACGUCUGAAUUUGCACUUUUUAUUCCCCAGCCUUUCAGUUCGAAGCUGUCCAGCCGUCGGAAAGCUGAGCAGCAGACCCUUUGCCCAGAGUCACCGGGUGCUAACAUUUUGCAACAUUUGUGUUUUUUCAUUGUAUAUUCCUCCCGCCACUGAGCUGUUGCAAAGUUGCUGUCUGUCACCUACAAGAACUUGUAUACGGGGCUGGGGAGAGUCUGUAAUCCUAGCAGUGUGGUGAUGGAGAAACAAUUCCUGGGGCAACUGACUAGUUAAAGCUUAGCCAAAUGGGUGAGCUCCAGGUUCAGCGAGAAGCCCUGUCUCAUAAAAAUAAGAUGGAAGCACUUUGGAAGCAUACAUAGAAGAAUCACCGUGAGUUCGAGGCUACCCUGAGAUCGACUACAUAGUAAAUGCCAGGUCAGCCUGGGCUAAAGCGAAACCCUACCUUGAUAUAUAUAUAUA